GAGAAAUUCAUGAAUUGAUUCAAGAUAUGGUCUGUCCAAGCAUAGAGUAUUUAGAGAUAAAAACACACCUUGGAAUUUAGUGAUAAACAUUGAAUCUAUGGGUGUGUCGCACAGGAUAUGCUUUGAUCGUGUACAGUAGUAAUGGAGAGCGGAUCUCAAGGCCACGAUUUAUAACAGAAUGUGCUGGGUGUAAUGGUUGAUGAGUCCGCGACAAAAGGCGCCGUCGACCGUAACACCCAAGACAUUUAAAUAUGUAAGUUAGCCCGUUGUCCACCCUCGACAGAAUAUUGUAAAGGUACGAUAGAGCAGUGACGAGGUGUGAUUUCUGUGUAAGAAAGUAUAGCGAUAGAAAGGUGGACUCUCUAGAAAUGUUAAUUAAUUCAUGGAGAAAUAUUGAUCGAUGCUAACCAAUAUCUGAGUACAUGACGAUGCACAGGUAUCUACAGAAUCUUGAUGAGAAAGAUGAAGUCCUGUAGAGUUCUGACGUUCUUAGUGAUUGUCCUGUCUUGAAGAUAGUGUCCAACACGAAAGAAUGAAACCAAAGAAGCUAUACAUAUCACGGUACAUCGAAAGUACAUUUGCCGCUUUUGUUAUUGGAGCAUGCGUGUUUACCGUUAUAACGACAAUAUCAACAUCCUCCAAACGCAAGGCAUCACACGCGAACAGAAGUCCGAAUGCAUUAAGACAAGAGCGAGAGUCAUUUUUGUUCUCUUUAUUGCGGGGAAGUAAGAGCGCUAAACAAGAAGAUAUGAAAGAACAACCACAAUUAAUUGAUAGUUACCCUGACCAUACGAGAGAAUGGUUUAACAGGACUACUGCCAAAAAAUUCAUCCCCGUAGGACCACAUCCUAAUCUCACUACACCCAUCAUAUCUAAUACUCAUAUAUGUAACUCAUCGGAGGUAGAUAUCUUGAUUUAUUUUCAUAGUUUAUGGAGUCAUUUCGAGCACCGUAGAAUACUUCGCGAGUCCUGGGCCAAUAAGAACGUGUUCUCAGACAUCAAAGUGAGAACAAUUUUCAUUCUUGGAAAACCACCGACCAAGGAGGAGCAGUUAAUGAUAGUGAACGAGAAUUUGAAUACUCGGGAUAUCGUACAGGGUAACUUUGAAGAUACUCACGGAAAUUUAACA